UACGAAGGGGGCUAGCGUUGUUCGGAAUCACUGGGCGUAAAGCGCACGUAGGCGGAUCUUUAAGUCAGAGGUGAAAUCCCAAGGCUCAACCUUGGAACUGCCUUUGAUACUGGGGAUCUUGAGUCCGGGAGAGGUGAGUGGAACUGCGAGUGUAGAGGUGAAAUUCGUAGAUAUUCGCAAGAACACCAGUGGCGAAGGCGGCUCACUGGCCCGGUACUGACGCUGAGGUGCGAAAAGCGUGGGGGAGCAAACAGG
rnacentral:rRNA from 1 species